CGGCGAAUAUUCUCGCUGUUCUGAUUUUGUGAUAAUCAGGGCAGGCUAAACAUUCGCUAUAUUAUGACCAUGCAUGUGUCCCCAGGCCUAGUUCUUACCCUAGGUCUGGUUUUCUAUAUGCUGGUAAUAAAC